AACGCACAUUGCACCGUCCUCGAGGCGGUAUGUCUGUUUGAGUAUCUGUACCCCCUAUCAAGGUACCUUUACUGUGUACUUUGGAGUUGAGUCUAUUGGUCACAUUAGUGGCCAUGACUUUAAAUGGAUUGUCUCGCGAGAGUGUACUCUCUUGUGAGACUCGGCGAGUUUGGUCUUUGAUGUCCAAAUGGUCAUAGUUACGACUACUGAUCCUCUUUGGCUUCUACUAAAAUGGGCCUCACUCUGCCACUCAUACAAAGAUCUCAAAUCAGACAAGGCUACCCGCUGAACUUAA
rnacentral:misc_RNA from 1 species